CCCUUAGAUGUUCUGGGCAGCACGCGCGCUACAAUGGUCUUCGCAAACGGAUGCAUUCUCGAAGGAGAAUGCCAAUCUUGGAAUCUAUGCCUUGGUCGGGACAGUUGCUUGCAAUUUUUCGACUCGAACCAGGAAUUCCUUGUAAUCGUGACUCAUCACAUCACGAUGAAUACGUCCCUGCCCUUUGUACACACCGCCCGUCGCUCCUACCGAUCGAAGAGUUAGGUGAAUUGUUUUGAUCGAUAAGAUUUGACUAUGGUCAACUCUCGUUGUGAAAUUCUGUGAAUCCGACUGUUUAGAGGAAGGAAAAGUCGUAACA
rnacentral:rRNA from 1 species